CAGUAGCCGCGGUAAUACGUAGGUCCCGAGCGUUGUCCGGAUUUAUUGGGCGUAAAGGGAGCGCAGGCGGUUUAGUAAGUCUGAAGUUAAAGGCAUUGGCUCAACCAAUGUAUGCUUUGGAAACUGUUAGACUUGAGUGCAGAAGGGGAGAGUGGAAUUCCAUGUGUAGCGGUGAAAUGCGUAGAUAUAUGGAGGAACACCGGUGGCGAAAGCGGCUCUCUGGUCUGUAACUGACGCUGAGGCUCGAAAGCGUGGGGAGCAAACAGGAUUAGAUACCCCAGUAGUCCCUGUCUCUUAUACA
rnacentral:rRNA from 1 species